rnacentral:rRNA from 1 species
GACGAACGCUGGCGGCGUGCUUAACACAUGCAAGUCGAACGGAAAGGCCCUGCUUUUGUGGGGUGCUCGAGUGGCGAACGGGUGAGUAACACGUGAGUAACCUGCCCUUGACUUUGGGAUAACUUCAGGAAACUGGGGCUAAUACCGGAUAGGAGCUCCUGCUGCAUGGUGGGGGUUGGAAAGUUUCGGCGGUUGGGGAUGGACUCGCGGCUUAUCAGCUUGUUGGUGGGGUAGUGGCUUACCAAGGGUUUGACGGGUAGCCGGCCUGAGAGGGUGACCGGCCACAUUGGGACUGAGAUACGGCCCAGACUCCUACGGGAGGCAGCAGGGGGGAAUAUUGCACAAUGGGCGGAAGCCUGAUGCAGCAACGCCGCGUGCGGGAUGACGGCCUUCGGGUUGUAAACCGCUUUCGCCGGUGACGAAGCGUGAGUGACGGUAAUGGGUAAAGAAGCACCGGCUAACUACGUG